rnacentral:rRNA from 1 species
UACGAAGGUCCCAAGCGUUGUUCGGAUUCAUUGGGCGUAAAGGGUGCGUAGGUGGCGGGGUAAGUCUGGUGUGAAAUCUCGGGGCUCAACCCCGAAACUGCACUGGAUACUGCCUUGCUCGAGUACUGGAGAGGAGAUUGGAAUUUACGGUGUAGCAGUGAAAUGCGUAGAUAUCGUAAGGAAGACCAGUGGCGAAGGCGAAUCUCUGGACAGUUACUGACACUGAGGCACGAAGGCCAGGGGAGCAAACGGG